GUCCUUGCCGUAAACGAUGUGUACUUGAUGUAGCUAGGCUCAACCCUGGCUGUGUCGGAGCUAACGCGAUAAGUACACCGCCUGAGGAGUACGCUCGCAAGGGUGAAACUCAAAAGAAUUGACGGGGGCCCGCACAAGCAGUGGAGCAUGUGGUUUAAUUCGAUGCAACGCGAAGAACCUUACCUGGGCUCGAAAAUGCAGAGGGCGACUACAGAAAUGUAGUUUUCCGUAAGGACUUCUGUAUAGGUGCUGCAUGGCUGUCGU
rnacentral:rRNA from 1 species